GUGCCAGCCGCCGCGGUAAGACAGAGGGGGCAAGCGUUGCUCGGAAUCACUGGGCGUAAAGGGCGCGUAGGCGGGAGGGCAAGUCAGUCGUGAAAUCCUUCGGCUCAACCGAAGAACGUCGGCUGAUACUGCCCUUCUUGAGGGAUGCAGAGGAGACUGGAAUUCCCGGUGUAGCGGUGAAAUGUGUAGAGAUCGGGAGGAACACCGGUGGCGAAGGCGGGUCUCUGGGCAUCUCCUGACGCUGAGGCGCGAAAGCGUGGGGAGCAAACGGGAUUAGAUACCCGCGUAGUCC
rnacentral:rRNA from 1 species